rnacentral:rRNA from 1 species
GUAGGUGGCGAGCGUUAUCCGGAAUGAUUGGGCGUAAAGGGUGCGUAGGUGGCACGAUAAGUCUGGAGUAAAAGGGAGCGGCUCAACCGCUGUUGGCUCUGGAAACUGUCGAGCUAGAGAGCAGGAGAGGGCGAUGGAAUUCCAUGUAUAGCGGUAAAAUGCGUAGAUAUAUGGAGGAACACCGGUGGCGAAGGCGGUCGCCUGGCCUGCAACUGACACUGAAGCACGAAAGCGUGGGGAGCAAAUAGGAUUAGAUACCCUAGUAGUCCACGCCGUAAACGAUGAGGACUAAGUGUUGGGGGAACUCAGUGCUGCAGUUAACGCAAUAAGUCCUCCGCCUGGGGAGUAUGCACGCAAGUGUG